UACGUAGGGAGCAAGCGUUGUCCGGAAUCAUUGGGCGUAAAGCGCGCGUAGGUGGCCCUGUAAGUCCGUUGUGAAAGUCAAAGGCUCAACCUUUGAAAGCCGAUGGAUACUGCAGAACUAGAGUACGGAAGAGGCGAGUGGAAUUCCUGGUGUAGCGGUGGAAUGCGCAGAUAUCAGGAGGAACACCAAUAGCGAAGGCAGCUCGCUGGGACGUUACUGACACUGAGGCGCGAAAGCGUGGGGAGCGAACAGG
rnacentral:rRNA from 1 species